GGGAGAGAAAGAGAGAGAACGGAAGAGUGAGAGCUCGAAAAAAGAAGAAAUAUUAAUGAACUCGUAACUGUCGCUUUUGCAAAUUGGUCUACAAGUGUGUGUGUGUGUGUGUGUGUGUGGAUGUGUGUGGAUGUGCACUCACUCCCA
rnacentral:sRNA from 1 species